UACGUAGGGGCUAGCGUUAUCCGGAAUUACUGGGCGUAAAGGGUGCGUAGGCGGUCUUUCAAGCCAGAAGUGAAAGGCUACGGCUCAACCGUAGUAAGCUUUUGGAACUGUAAGACUUGAGUGCAGGAGAGGAGAGUGGAAUUCCUAGUGUAGCGGUGAAAUGCGUAGAUAUUAGGAGGAACACCAGUAGCGAAGGCGGCCCUCUGGACUGUAACUGACGCUGAGGCACGAAAGCAUGGGGAGCAAACAGGAUUAGAUACCCUGGUAGUCCCU
rnacentral:rRNA from 1 species